GUUUUCUACAUGUACUCUAGUUUCCUCCCACAUUCCAAAGAUGUGCACUUUAAGUUAAUUGGUGUGUCUACAUUGUCCCAGUCGUAGCGAGUGCACGGAGUGUGUGACUGUGCCCUCCGAUGGAUGGCAUCCUCUCUGGGGUUGGUUUUUGCCUUGUGUUCUCAGCUGCUGGGACACCCAUGCCCCUGAACUGGAUGGAAUUAGCAGGUAAUCGUUCGAAAGAUUUGAGGAGGCAUGAGUCAAUUCUUCUUUAGAGAAAAACAAGCAGAGCUAUGCUGCCGCAAUGAGGAAUAAAUCUCAAAACUUGCAUUGAGUGGAGGAAAAGCAUGAAGAGAGCUUCUGUUCCCCCUAUGAGUCAUCUAUGGCACAAAUGAGAUAUUCCAAAUGAGCACAGUUAACUCAAGGAUAGCUCUUAAUUGACUUCAAAAUUCUUACAGAUUUGUCAAGAGCUUCUAACUGACUUUUAGAAGCUUUUUGGCUUCCACUUUGACUCAACAACAAGCCACAAGCCUAACCAAAUAGAAAAUACAAAGACAAGCAAACACACACAAAAACAUUGUGAACUGCGCAUGUGAGGGGUCUAGGCUGCAUGUUCCAUGCCUGAUGUUCUGAGGCAGAACAGCUUCAUCCUGAAACCAUCCCCCAACACAGCUUCGAUAUUCUUGGACAUUAUACUGACAAUCCUAAGGUGCAAAAGGGAUCAAUAUCAUAAAGAAAACAAAAAACCAAAAAUGUGUAUUACCAUUAUGUUAUAAAAUACUAAUGUGGCUCAAAGUAUCUCAGAAACCUGUAGACUAGCAAUGUGAAGAAUGCUUAGACUCACAUAUUGAUUGCUUUGUGGAAAGAGAAAAAAAGGUUCUAUGUC
rnacentral:lncRNA from 1 species